UACGAAGGGGGCUAGCGUUGCUCGGAAUCACUGGGCGUAAAGCGCACGUAGGCGGAUCUUUAAGUCAGGGGUGAAAUCCUGGAGCUCAACUCCAGAACUGCCUUUGAUACUGGGGAUCUCGAGUCCGGGAGAGGUGAGUGGAACUGCGAGUGUAGAGGUGAAAUUCGUAGAUAUUCGCAAGAACACCAGUGGCGAAGGCGCUCACUGGCCCGGUACUGACGCUGAG
rnacentral:rRNA from 1 species